rnacentral:rRNA from 1 species
GACAGAGGAUGCAAGCGUUAUCCGGAAUGAUUGGGCGUAAAGCGUCUGUAGGUGGCUUUUUAAGUCUGCCGUCAAAUUCCAGGGCUCAACCCUGGACCUGCAUUCGAUACGGGCGGACUAGAGUUCGGUAGGGGAGACUGGAAUUCCUGGUGUAGCGGUGAAAUGCGCAGAUAUCAGGAGGAACACCGGUGGCGAAGGCGGGUCUCUGGGCCGAUACUGACGCUGAGGAGCGAAAGCGUGGGGAGCGAACAGG